GAUGAAGAACGUAGCAAAAUGCGAUACGUAAUGCGAAUUGCAGAAUUCAGUGAAUCAUCAAAUCUUUGAACGCAAAUUGCGCUCUCGGGAUAGGCCUGGGAGCACGCCUCUUUGAGUAUCGUUUCAACCACAACUCGAAAGCGUGCUUAAUUGCAUGCUGACGGAAAUUGAGCGCUUCUCGAGCAAUCGAGACGCUUGAAAUUGAGCGAGUGACAACGAUUUCUGACGUGAAAUUGACUCUGUCUCAAGUGACGAGGAUAACUUCACAUUCAAUUGUGAACCCUUCCUUCGUGACUCUCGAGGCGGGUUGUUUCAUGCUGGUCAUCUGCAAUGUUGCGGACCAUCUGCACGCGUCUCUUACGAUGGCUGCAGAACUCUAUUUGAACUAGAUCUCAAAUGAAGCGAGAAAACCCGCUGAACUUAAGCAUAUCAAUAAGCGGAGGA
rnacentral:misc_RNA from 1 species